UCCCUGGUGGCUCAGCUGGUAAAGAAUCCACCUGCAAUGUGGGAGACCUGGGUUCGAACCCUGGGUUGGGAA
rfam:TPA: Bos taurus chromosome 26, whole genome shotgun sequence.